GUCCACGCCCUAAACGAUGUCAACUGGCUGUUGGGUGCGAGAGUACUCAGUAGCGAAGCUAACGCGUGAAGUUGACCGCCUGGGGAGUACGGCCGCAAGGUUGAAACUCAAAGGAAUUGACGGGGGCCCGCACAAGCGGUGGAUGAUGUGGAUUAAUUCGAUGCAACGCGAAGAACCUUACCUGCUCUUGACAUGUCAGGAACUUUCCAGAGAUGGAUUGGUGCCCGAAAGGGAACCUGAACACAGGUGCUGCAUGGCUGUCGU
rnacentral:rRNA from 1 species